GAACGCUCUUCCUCAAAAAUAUCAACGUCGCUGCAUCAUCAAGCUAACCAUAACUCGGGAAAAUAUACACCGAACGCUGAAACAUUGCCUCAAUUUUAUAUAACAUGGCAACUCCGUCCGAGCCUUCACGCCGCAGCCCCGCCCGACCCGCCGAGGAGGGAGCCUAGAAGCGUGCAGCUCUUAAUUUACAAUAAUACCAAUAAUACAUCAUUGGGAGGGUUCACUCACCCCCUCCGAGGCGACGCCGAGUAGGUGGAGCGGCCGUCCCUGGUGUCUGCCCCGUCUGCCGCCAAUGCUUGAUCACAGAGACACCAACAACAGCCUCGUGACCUCCAACUCGACUGUCAACAAGAUUACUAAAAGAAAAUGGGAUAUUUUUUACCGUAUCAUGAAGCAUUGUUUUUGCUGACGAGGAACUUCUUGCUCCGGUGAUCUGCAUUGUUUCAAGACUACACCGUCAUCGAGGGAAAUAGCCUUGAAAGCUCCAGUUAAAGAGAACUUAAGAAACUGAACAAAUUUAACAAGUACAGGUCGUUCGUCUUCGUAGGAGCAUGGGAGGAGCAGAGGAGUGAGCGUUUGUCCUGGCUAGCGGAGUGCGGAAACCGAUCAUCAGUAUUGCUCCAGUCACCACGUUUUUAGAAGCGGCCAAUGAGAAGAAAGCAGCGAAUAAAACGUCUGGUAUUGCAUGAUACUAGUAUUUUAUCUCUACGCAGGUGUCUCCCGCACGCACCUGGAGGCUUGAUUGGUCUCUCUUUGUACCUUCACUACCUCCGAUACCACGCAUUCGCAAAGCAGGCUUCAGUGUCCAUAUUGCCCUGACGAGUUGCGGAAAAAGUAAUCAUAAAACGUCAUAUAACUCCCUGGGUCGUAAAUUUCCUGCGUGUGUGUGUGUGUGUGUGUGUGUGUGUGUGUGUGUGUGUGUGUGUGUGUGUGUGUGUGUGUGUGUGUGUGUGUGUGUGUGUUCAUUUACUACGUUUGAAAAAAAAGUGUUGCUCUGAAAUAUAUGUAGUGUUAAGUCUGUAAAAUUUUCGGUAUGUCUAAAAUUGUCUGUGCUGGUCUUCUUUUUUGUGUGAAUUUGUAAAUGAUAAAAACUGAUAAAAUAAAUCGGCCUUGCUUUGUUUCCCUUACUGUAUUUGUUUCUUAUUUACAUUUUUGUGUUUGUGUUUGUAUAUUUGUAUGUAUGUGUUAAUUUUCAAGGUGGUGCUGUAACUGUGCUAAAACAAAUUUCAGUUCUAUAUCUACACCAUUUCCUAGUUUGUUUUCUUAGUCGUCAUUGUAGGGAAGACUGUACUAUGUUUGCUC